rnacentral:pre_miRNA from 1 species
AAGCAUCCGCAGGCUGCCGGCCCCCAGGCAGGGCUGGGCGAGUAUCUCUUUGAAAGGCUCACCCUCAAGCUCGACCAGGAGC